AUACUGAAAUAUGUUAAAAUUAGUGCUAC
rnacentral:sRNA from 1 species